CCCGCCCUUGCUUUCCUCCCUCCCUUGUGUUCCAGCUUCCAGAACUCCGGAACCUCCAACCUGAAGGAGCUGCUUUUCACCGGAUUCCCAGAGCCCCGGCACUGGUGGAUGCAAAAGAGCGUGGUGCCGGGUUGCGGUGACAGCCAAGCUCGCUUGUCACCACCUAGAGGCGGGAUGACCUCUCAGAAAUGCAAGUGAUGCCAGGGUGCUUGUUCAUGAAACCGAAGAAUGAGCUUCACAAACACUCAAGGAACCUGGAAAUUCAAACAACGAUAUAUACUGCAUCAAUUAUAUCUCCAGGAUUCACAGAGGUGACUAAAUGAGGACAUGAAGAAGGUAAUGCCAUUGAGAGAAAAUUUUUAUUACUUAGUGUUUUCAGGAGAAAGGGGUACGCACACCGUGCAGGGUCACAUGUGGAAGCACCAGGUUUGGUCAGGAGGCAGAAGCGGAAGUGAAGGGAAAGCAGAGGCCACAGCCUUUAUUUAUUUAUUUGUUUCAAGAAAGGCAAGGUAUACAGAUUAGGAUUGGUUGGUUUGAAUAAUAUGAGCAGGCUCUGGGCUAUUGGAACAGUCUCUAGUUGUCUGGCACCUGGCCCUGGGUGAUUUAGGGCAGGGGAAAUAUUGGCUUAGUGUGUGAAAGUUAGGUAAAGGAAGGGAUUGGGGAGAUGGGCUUAAUAUGGGUUGGGAGGUUUGUAAUAUGAUUUUUGCAUAUUUGCAAAAGCUGGAUUGCAGGGGAGAUAUAAACCACUUGGGCUGUUAGUAGGGUCCUGUGAUUAAUGGAUGCCAAAUAGAUGCAGUAUCUAAGAAAACACAGACUAGCGCCCCAUCUACUAGAAAGGCUAAAUUAGAGAGACAUACUGACAAUACAAAAUCUGGCAGGGAUGUGGAACAACUGUAAUACUUGUACACUACUGGUGUAUGAAGUUCAAAAGUAGGAAAAACUCAUCAAGGAUAUUAGAAGUCAGAAGAGCAGUUUCAUCUUCUUCGGAGGAGUGUUACUGAAAGGGGCACAAAGAGAAUACUGAACUGGUGAAGUCUUUUUCUUUGGCUUAUUUGAAAGAAAACAGCAGACACAAUACACAACAAUAUACAUUUAUCAUACUGUGUCGUGGUUAGAAGAAUUAUCUGGCUCUGUGCCAUAAUCUAAUACAUGGAGAUCUUGGUCAUUUUACCCAUCCCGUAAGAUCUUGCUGGUUGUGGUGUAAUAAGAAAUAUAUAUUUGAUCUCUGCCCCCAGUUUCUGACAGAGGCUCCUAAAACCCUUGUAAUUUUCUGAGUGAUGGGGGUAAUAGAGCCUCUUAUACAGACUUCCUGAUUCUCUUGGAAUUUCCUGGAUGAUUGGAGUAUCUUUAGUUCUAAUGAGGUGAGUCUUGGGGGGCUCCUGGAUGACCUCAGAAUGGGGGCUGGUUGCCAGAAAGACCAAGCCAUGAUUAGAAGCUUGGAACUUUAACCGCCAACCCCCAUCCUCUGGAGAGAGGAUGAGGGGCUGAGAAUGAGUUAAUAAUCAAUGACACCUAGGUGAUGAAGCCAUCAUAAAAAUCCCUGUGGGUCUUAGAGAGCUUUUAGGUUGGUGAACCCAUCCACAGUGCUCAGACCCUUCUGGGCCUACCUGAUAUCUCUUCAUCUGGCUAUUCAUGUGUAUCCUUUAUAAUAAACUAGUAAUAAUAAGUAAAGUUUUUCCUUGGGUUUUGUGAGCUGUUAUAGCAAAUAACCAAGCCUGAGAAAGGGGCCAUGGGAAUCUCUGAUUUGUAGCCAUAUCAGAUUGAACUGGUCCACUGAACUGAUGAUGUAAGACUGACAGGACAUGUUGAGUAUAAAACAGCAGGUAGUGUGCAUGCUUAAGGAAAUACAUGUAUAGCAAAAGGCAGGGAGACUAAAGGACAAGAGCUUUUCACUUCAUUGAAAUUUCUUGGUGCUUUUUGAUUUUGCACACAGGCAGUCCCCUCCAAAUGAAGGACAAAUUGUUUUACUUGUGAAACCUAUUACUAAAUGAAAAAAACAAAGAGACAUCACUCAGGUGAGUUUAGAGACAAUGUUUACCAUAUUCAGGUGUACUUCUCUGACUUUACCUGGUCACCUAAAGUGAAGCCACAUUUGAGUGAGACUCAGAAGAAAAAAGGUUCUCCAGCUGGUGCAGUCUGCCAUGCAACUUGGUCCUUACAAUCUUUUUGAUCACAGUGUUUGUGGCAAAUCGAGGUACUGUAUGGAGCUGUGGCAAGUUCUGACAGGGGCAUCAUUGCAGAAGCCCUUUGACCAUGACCUUUGGCAAAUAUUCUCCCACUGAGAAUCUGCUCUUGGCUAACUGCUAGGCUUUGGACACAGAAUGACUGUGCAACUCAAGCUGUUCGUCAAGAGCUGGUUACUAUGUGGUCCUCCUCGGUUUGAAACUGACUCACAGAUAUUAAGAAGUAACUAGCGGUUACCAAUAGGGAGAGGUUGGGGCAGGUUUGCAGGGAAGGGUGAAGGGGAUAAAGGGGCACAAUAUUCACAAUCACAAUAUAAGUUGGUCAUGGGGACGGUAGCACAGUUUGGAGAAUACAGUCAAUGAUUCUGUUACAUCUUUCCACAUUGAUAGAUGGUAACUGCAGUAGAGGGGGUGAGAAUUUUAUAAUAUGGAUAACUGUUGAACCACUAUGUUAUACUUUUGAAACCAAUAUAAGAUUGUAUAUCAGUGAUACUUCAAUUAAAAAGAAAGGUGGCACUAGAACAAAGUGGCUUCACAGCUGCAUUAUAUCUAUCUUUAAGCAAACAGAUGAUUCCAAUAGUGUUUAAUUAUGCUAGACUGCAUAAAAAAAUAAGAAAUUUCACACUUUCUAUAAGUCAAUUUUGUUACUACUUAUAUGUUAGUUUUAAUGUUUUAGAGGUUUAUUCAGCCUGCUACUUUUCCUUGAUAUAGUUGGAUAAAUUAUGUUUUUCAAGGGAACUAAUUGUUCAAGGUUUCAAAAUUAAUUGGCACAGAGUUGUUCAUAUUAUCUCAUAACUUUUUUAAACUGUUAAUCCAGGGCUGCCAAUACAGUUGCACAUAUUGUUUACUGCAUAAGCUUAUCUGAACAAGGAAUGAAUGAGAGCAGCCUUCACCCAGGUUUCCAAGUAACAAACCCAGGGUGAGGCUGCUUACCACCCAGGGGGGUGGGUUUUUUUCUUUUCCUAACUCUCUGUGAGGGCUAGUUGUGGCCUGACUCUAACUUACCUAUAUCCCUCUUUUCUUUCCAGGAUUGUUGAUUUGCCCUCUUUUGUUUUAUUGGUCAAGUCUGCCAGAGUUUUGCCUUUUCUAUUAGUUCAUUUCAAAUAAUUUUAUUUUGUCUUUUUGCAAACUCUUUUGUGUCUUUGUCUCAUUUUCAAUUAAUUCGUGCUUUCAUUUUUUAUUACGGCCAUUCUUUUUCUUUCUUGAAGGUGAUUGUGCUGUUUUUUUUCCCAGGGAAGCUUAGCUUAAUAAUUUUUUACCUUUCUUCCUUAAUAUAAGCAUUUAGGACUCUACAUUUCUCUUCGUGAAUUACUGUAUCUUCAUCCUAUGAGGUUUUUAUUUAAUUCUGAAAAUGUUCACACAUAAAAGUUGAAAGAAUUACAUGGUGAUACCCAAAUGCCCAGCACUGAAUUUCUACAGUUAAGAUUCCACCAAAUUUACCUUAUCAUGCAAUUUUCCAUUUAUCCACCUUCCUUCUAUCCAUUCAUCAAACAUCUUAUUUUUAAUGCAUUUCCAAGGAAGUUACAGGCAUCAGUACCUUUUGCUCUUAAACAUCUCUGCAUGCCUACAAUUAUCUGGAGUUCAAUUUAUUUAUUUAUGGAAAUUUUGAGGCUAUUAUUCAUUUUAAUUCAAUGAUGAAAACUAUCAGAAGAAUAUUCUCCUGAAAAUUAUUUCUUAUUAGGAGAGAAGAAAGGGAAGAAACAUCAUCUCACAUAGCCACAGAUGGUGUGGGAGUCACGCCUCUCCAGCAGAUGGAGAUGGUCUGUUAGUCUGUCCAGGCACUGUCUGGGUCAGCAGGAUUGUAGUCUCUACCAUCCUCACCCUCCUCCAGCUCCAUGUGAUCCAUUUCUUGGAACAAAGACUCAGCUACCUCCACAUUACUUCCAGCAUCUUCCAGGAUAUCAGAUGUGUUAGGCCUAUGAUCUGUUUCAAAUAGCUGUUUCCCACUUACUUAAUUUAUUUCCUGCUUGUUCUUCCUUCAUUUGUUUCUCACUAAUUUCCAAUGGUUCUGCAUCAAACUUGGCCUUCCAACUUAAAUUCUCAGUUGUAAUGAGAGUGCCAUGAAAUAACUGCUUUUCAACUUCUGCUUUUUCUUUUUGUUCCUUUUUCUUUUUUUCCCCCAGUUUUUAUUUGAUUGACUAUUUCCUUUAAAUUUUCUUGCACAGCCAUCACCAAAGAAAAGAUUACCAUACCAAGGUUUUCUUCUGCCUAUAAUGCUAAUAAUUUUUAAAUAUCUGAGUCACCACCAUUAUCCUAGAUUUUCCUGGGAGAAUACUUCAUGGGUGGGGUUUCAUCUGGUCUGGGUAUUUCUUACUGUAUGUAAACUUGAGAGUAUCUAGACAAUUUCGUUAUUUUCUCCAGCCUCAGAUGUCACAAUAAUGGUGAAGCUGGGUGGAUUUUCUAAUAAUACUUAGCAGGACCAUGUCAGGCAGAACACUCCUGCAGGAGAAUGUGGUGUCAGGAGAGUCCAGUUAUAUUUUGGAAGACCAUUUGUCAGGAGGCUUGUACCAAUGUUCCCUUGAGCUGGGAAGGAGUCAGGGUAGAUGGACUCCAGAGCCUCCAGCUUCUUGUGCCACUCCUCAUGGUAAUCUGUCAUCAUGGACUUGCUGUACUCAAGGACUACCCAGACACUCAGGUGCUAUGCAGCAGCCAGGUGGGCACAGGUGCAGAGUCCCCAGCUGGCAAGCCUGGGGCCCAAGGCCAGGCUGGCCCUGUGGUACAAAUUAGUUAUUUUUUUAAAGUAAAAUUGUUAUAGAGUGAAAUACAUGCAUAUUAAAUGUACCAUUUGAUAAAUUUUGACAAAUGUCACCCUACGAGUUUCAAUGUAUUAAAUACUCAUUACCAUUCAGUUCUAAGUGCCUUUUAAUUUUCACUAUGAUUUCUUCUUUGGUCUCUGAGUUUAAUGAUAUUUUGAUAUAACUGCAUUAGUAGUAGACUUGUAUUGAUGAAAAAAACACAUGCAGUUACUACCUGGGUAAAUCCACCUGCGUUUACUUAUUUGGAGGAUCUAAGAAAUGUCAGCAAUGAGCAAGAAGCACAGUACAUAAAUCAGUUCUAACAAUCUCCUGGAUAGUAGGUGGAAUUGGUUUCCAGAUCCCAAAAUCCUAGCAGGUGGGGUUGCCAGAUUUAGUAAGUAGAAAUACAGUAUUUUGCCUGGCCAUCCUACAAACAAUGAAUCACAGUUUUAGAUAACAAUUCAUGAGUGAGUUGAGCAUCAUACCAUUCUUUCUAGAUGGCUAGCUGUCCCUUUUCUGGCCUACUUGUUAUAUAUGCAAGGCUGGAGUCAUUGGACACAUGAGCCAGUUUGGAUAUGUGCCAGCAACCCCAUCAUCAGAGUCAGUUGCUCCUCAUCAAUAUUGGACUUAAAAAAUAUACAACAGGAUUAAACAGUUGAGUCAAAUACAGCAUAUACACAGACAUGAGUACGUUAAUAUUAAAAAUACUUAAUAUAGUGGAUAAUAUAGUCAACCUCUGCCUUCCUCUUCAGCUCCAUGCCUCACCCUCCUUCUUCUCUGCCCUCCAGCCACAUUGGCCUUCCAUCUGGCCCCUGAAAUCACUAUGGUUUCUCCUGCCACAGGGCCUUUGUAUAUGGCAGAGCUUCCCAAAAUCUUAUGUCAGAAAGGUGUUAACAAGUGUGUCAAGGAAUGAUUCCUCUCAGCCCUGGAAUAAAGAUGGGUGGAGACCCUCCAGUGGGCUGAAGUAGGGAGAGCCAAAGACAAAAGAAAAGGUAAAUGUUGGGAAGCACUGGAUAAGGGGUUCCCUUUUGCCUGGAAGGCUUUCCUCUCCUACUCAUCUUCAGACCUCAGCUCCAACAUCACUCCUUAGAGGUGACCUCCUAACUUCUCUAACCAUGUUGGAUCUCCUGACUAUAUGUUCUCAGACCAUCCUGUGCCUUUCCUUCAUAGUACUUAUCACAGUUGUAAUUUUACAUCAUUUAUGUCUCCUUAGCUUGACCUUAAGUUCUAUGAGAGAGGGACUAUGUCUUUAUCUCCCUCUUCUCCUCCUCCAAACUUUUAAAAUUGAAACCUAACAUGAAAAAUGAAACUUAACAUCUUAAGUGAUUAGUGUGGUGAAUUACUGCAAAGUGAACACAUCUAGAUUAAGAAAUAGAACAUUAGCAGGUAUAAGCACUAUCUGUACUUAAAACACCAUAAUAAAUUUUGCCUGCUUUUUGAACUCAGUAUAAAUAAAGUCAUACAGUUCCUAUUUUUGUGUGUCUGGCCGCUUUGGUGCAACAUUGUAUCUGUGAAAUUCAUAUUGUUAUUGUGUAUAACUGCUGUAAUCUGUUUUUUUUCGUUGCUGAGUAGUAUUCCACUGUAUGAAUCUAGUAUAUUCAUUCUACAGUUGAAAUCUUGACUAUUACAAAUAAUGCCAAAAGAACAUUUUGUACAUAUCUUUUUUAUUGUAGUAAAACAUGCAUAUCAAAAUGUUUAACCUUUUAACCAUUUUUAAGUGUAUAAUUAAGUGGCACAAAGUGCAUUCACAAUACUGUAUAACCAUCACCACUGUCCAUUUCCAGAACUUUUUCUGUACAGGUCUUCUUGAUGAACAUAUGUCUAUAUUUCCUAAGGGCAUAUACUUAGGAUAUGCUAAAUCAUAGGGUUUGUGUAUGUUUAAUUUACUAAAUACUGCCAAACAGUUAUUUAAAGUGGCUAUACCAAUUUACAUGCCCACCAGCUCUGUAUGAGGGUUCCCAUGGCUCUGUGCCCUUGCGUAUACUUGGUGUUAUCAGUCUCUUAAAUUUUAAUUAUUCUGGUAAAUGUGUAGUAAUUUUUUUUCAAUUUCUCUGAUAAUUAAGACAGCUUAGUACCUUUUCGUAUACUUGAUGGCAUUGGAUAGCUUCUUUUGUGAAAUGACUGUUCAAGUCCUCUGCCCAUUUGUUUUUCCUUUUAGCCCAUUUUUAACUGGAUUACCUAUAGUUUUCUUAUUGGUGUAAAAGGGUUAUUUAUAUAUUCUGGAUUCAAAUACAUUUUUGGUUAAGUGUUUUGCAGUUUUGUUCUUCAUUCCAUAACUUGUAUUUUCACUCUUAUAAUGGUGUCUUUUGAUCAGCCAAAGUUGCUGAUUUUAAUAUAGUCUAGUUUAAAAAUUGUUUCAUUUACAUUAGUGCUUUUUGUAUCCUAUUUAAGAAAUCUUUGCCUCCUGAAGGUCAUGAAGAUAUUCUUAAUUUCUUUUGGGAUUUUUUGGUCCAUGACAGUUUUUGAUUACUCUUUAUUCCAUGCAUCUAACACAGUGAUUAUAAAUUGGUGUUUCCCAUUCCUCCUGUAUUUGCAUCAGACUUUGUGAUUUCUGCCAUAGAAAACCACACCAGUAUUAUUGUUCCCUUGACAUCAUUAAAAGUCAGCUGUAAAUUCUUUUUAAAUUUACCUCAAAUUUAGCAAUACCUGUGAAAAUAUAAAUUUGAUGUGCAAGUCAUUUUUAAUACAAUUAAGCAAAUACAUAAUGUAUAAAACUUCAUAUUUGCUUUACAUUAAUCUCUAAGAUUCCUCAUUAUGCAUAUUACACUUUGGGAUACUUUGCUGUAAAUGUUAGCUAUUUCAUGUUAAAAAAUUGGGAAAAUGGUUGGUACAUAAUGAACAUUGUGUUAACUGUUAAUAUAAUUCUUAUAUUAGUUUUUAAUAAUUUGAUAAGCUGUCAUAUUCUAUUGGUCACACAAAUCAACCCUAGUACCAUAUGGGAAGGGACUAUAUAAGGGUGUAAAUACCAGGAGACAGUGACCAGGGGGUCAUCUUGGAGGCUGGCCACAUCUUAGAAACAUGAAUUGCUUGCUAGCACACAAAUAAUACUGCCUGAGCUUCAAAUUUCAUAAAAUUACAAUUUUGUCUUCUCUUUCUUUAGCCUUUUUUGUUUUUAUUAAAGUGUUGUUAGUAUACAAUCUUGUGUUGGUUUUGAAUGUACAUCACAAUGGUUCAACAGUCCCCAUGAUCAAUUUACAUUGUAAUUGCAAAUUAUUGUGCCCUUUAUCCCCAUUCCCCACACCCAUCCUUAUUCCUCCCCCUUGGUAACCACUAGUCACUUCUCAGUGUCUACGGGUCUAUUGCUAUUUUGUUCCUUGCUGUUUUACUUUGUUUUUCUAUUCCACAAAUAAGUGAAAUCAUUUGGUAUUUGUCUUUCUCUGCCUGGCUUAUUUCACUGAGCAUAAUACUCUCUAGAUCCAUCCAUGUUGUUGCAAAUUCUCUCUAGCCCUUUUUAUUGUGAAAAAUUUCACAUAUGCAUAAAAGUCCAUAAGACAAAUGUGCAGCUUAUUAAGUUAUUAAAAAGCUAAUAUCUGUGGAAAAGCAAUCACUCAGGUUAAGACAUGGAACAAUGUCAACAACCCAGAAGCCUCCUCCCCACUCUUGUGAAUGACAACACUCCCCUUCCCAUCCUUAUGGUGACACGUCACAUAUUUUCACAAAUAUUGCUAAAUUUGGGCCAAAGUUAAAAAGAAUUUUAAGUUGACUUUUAAUGAUAUUAAGUAAAUAGUAGUGGUGGUAUUCUUAUGGCAACAAUCACCAUGCUGAUUUUUACAGUUUUCCAUGUGUUUUUCUUUAUAGCUUACCACCUAAGAUUGUAUUCCUAUUCAAUACAGUUUAGUUUUGACAAUUUAAAAUUUUUAUGUAAAUGGAAUCAUCCAGUAUGUAGUAGUUCUGUGUCUAAAUUUUUUGGCUCAAUAUUAUGUUCUUAAGAUCUACCUAUGUUACUGAAUGAGGCAGUUUGUUAAUUUGCAAUCCUGUAUAGAAUGUUUAUAAACAUACUGAAAUGUACCCAUUUUACUGUUGAAGAAGAUGUGGACAAUUUUCAGUAUUUGGCUAUUACAAAUAAAGCUGCUGUGAGCAUUCCCA